rnacentral:tRNA from 1 species
AAUAAAGUAAGAUAAUGUCUAUUAAUUUUCAAAGUUAAAAGUGUAUAUUGAUACUUAUAUGA